AGAAUCAACGCUGGCGGCGUGCCUAACACAUGCAAGUCGCACGAGAAAGGGUAGCAAUACCUGAGUAAAGUGGCGCACGGGUGAGUAACACGUGAAUGAUCUACCUCCGAGUGGGGAAUAACUGAGAGAAAUCUUAGCUAAUACCGCAUAACACUUACGAGUCAAAGCAGCAAUGCGCUUGGAGAGGAGUUCGCGGCCGAUUAGUUAGUUGGCGGGGUAAUGGCCCACCGAAGACGAUGAUCGGUA
rnacentral:rRNA from 1 species